rnacentral:lncRNA from 1 species
CUUGCAUUCUCCCAAAGAGGGAUAAUGGGGAAGUGACAGUCCCUUUAAUAAAGUCCAGGUAUGAAAAGUUUCUGAAUGGAUCAGAGUGAAAGGGUUUCGCUCUACUAUCACAGAAAAUGUAUUUCUGUGAGAGAGAGGAGCCUCCAUUGCAUGUCUCUUCCUGCACAGCUCCUCUGCUGUGCUCGCUCUCCCAUCUAACCUGCAACCUAGAGACACACAAGGAGAUUCUCCCAGCUUCAGGACAAACUUUGAAUUGCCCUUAAACCAACUCCUUUGUAGAUAUUAGGCUGAACCAUAGAGAACUAUCAUGUCUGUAGGUAAAAAUGGAUGACUACUGCCAAUUUUAUACGGCUUGGCCAAGAUACUUAAGGUGGUAACCUUAUAGAUCUCUUCUAGAG